UAAUCGCGGACUGAACCUGGUGUUAUUCUCAUUACUGGAGGGAAUUUCAAAACAGUUUAGAGCAACAACGCAAAUUAAACAUUGUGCUUUAUAAAAACACACCGUCUCCAUCGGCCGCGACAAAGAGCGAAAAAAAAAAAAAGAAUUCCAAAACAUACCAAUACCAGAACAUAAUCUGCACCUUUUUGGGGUCAAGGAAUGCGCAUGGCAUGAUUCAAUAUCCGUUAGCCAAUCCCAGCGCAUUGUUUUCAAAACAUUACGCAAGCAUAUCACGAGGUCAACGAUAGCUCCUAUAUAUAGCCAACCACCAGCACGGAAAGUCAGAUACGACGCAGCCACAUCUAUGCUUUAGUAUCUCUAAAUUCCACUGCCUUUUUUGCAGCCAAAAGUCCGCUGGCGGACGUAGUCUUGGUUGUAGAAUUGCUUAUUGUGGAGCACAGUUAUCUUUUUCUCUAGCUAAAAAGGAAGACAACAAACACGCUAUAAAUUAUAGUGGAGUGCUUCUGCUUACGAAAGCUUAAGCAGCCGAAUAAGAUUACAGCAGAAGAAGACAUAAUCUGCUGGUCAGAUUCAAAGAGGAUUCCUCGAGUGACACAGGCUUUUCAUUCGUUUACAUUAAAAAGUAAAAAAAUAGACAAGAAAAAUACGCAGUAUUUCUGACUGACUGAGAGAUUUGCAAAGACUGAGAAAAAAGUUUGCACUUAAGUUGACUGUGUUCCACACAAAGUUCGUAAGCCACACAGAAAACAAAAUGGCGGACCCAGUUUUCGGACUUAUCGUCAUCAUCCCCCGCCAUUAGUGACGUUUGGGCAGUUGACGCCUGGCAGCCAGUUCUGUGGACAAACCUACAUCUGUUUUUGAGUACUGAACGGAAACAGUUUAAGCAGCUGAUCGCCACAACGCUAUCGUUUUGGACUUCUCUUUACCAUUUGCCCGAACGUGACGUCACAGCUGAAGUUUCUGCCGUCAGAGUUAACCGCCAUUUCCUCCGGUUGAGACUCGCCUCCAAACUUUGAACUUUGACCUUUGAUCUUUGAGCAUUUCUUCGACUUCAAGUACCAUCUGUUCUGUUGUAUUCUGUAAUCGAGGACUGGCAAAGACAUCCGAUCAAAUCUUCAGAGGUUUUUAGACGCCCCGAAACCGCUGGAUAGCCCCCCAAAAUCUUUAGUGAAAACAGCGAAGAAAACAAUAAUAUUCUUGUUUGAGCAUAAUAUAGUCAUCAUGAUUGAGUCUACCUACACCGUUCCUUUGAUAGUUCUCAUCCUGCGUUAAAAUUGUAAACUUAUUUUUAGUGAUUGUGUGUGUCAGCAAAUCAAAUUUGAUCAUGUUUGGAUCAAAUCCCAUAACUUCCUUAAUCGUCAUUAUUCUGCCCUCAGUGCCUCUAUCCUAAAACAGAGAGCCGAGAGGAUGGAAAAAGAAGACAGGCUUCAUUGCGCUAUGGAUACGUUAAAUUUUGGUCUGAACUUCCAGGGUUUUCCCUGGUUUUGAGUUUUGAUUAUUGGAAAAAGGAACAUGAUUUUUAUUUGAAAAUGGAAAAGGAUUUUUUUUAUUUUAAAAGGACAAUGUUUUAAUUGUUAAGGGAGAAUUAGUUUUCAAUUAAAAAGGGAAAGUAAUUUUUUUUAUUUUAAAACGGAAGACGAUUGAAAUGGGAAGAUGGUUUUAAUUGAAAAGGGAAGGUGAUUUUUCAUUGAAAGGGGGAAAUGAUUUUAUUGAAAAUGAAGGAUGAAUUUUUAUUCAAAAUUGAAACUGAUCUGUAAUUUAAAAGGGAAAACAAUUUCAAUUGAAAUGGGUAAAUGAUUUUAAUUUAAAAAAGGAAAACGAUUUGUAAUAGAAAUGGGAAAACAACACACGACAGGUUAUCCUCACAGCAUGCAAUGGCGGAUAACGGCUUAAUUAAAAGACUGCUUUUUUACUCGCCUGGUGUAAUCUAUGAAAGCAAUAAUAAUUAAUCAGGUACUGUUCUUUGUUAACUAACUUAUAGAGCCCUCGGUAUCGUUGCUCACAUUUACCAAGCCGUAAUGAAUGUUCCAUGUACUCAAAUCGCAUAUGUGAUAAAUAAUUGGAAAACAAUUUUUAACUAAGGGAUCAUCUUGUUCCUCUAAAAGACUUAAUAUGAUCUUUUUGAAGUCCUGUAGAAGUAGGGCAGUAACAUUUGUGAGGGUGCUCUGAUGCUCUACCUUAUGAAUGUAUGGUGUGUUUUUUUUCUUUGAUUAAUCCCCUUUCGACUAUUUAUUUAAUUUAUUAACAUGUUUGCUUCUUGGGUUUCACAAUCCUCUCACGUGACAAUAUACCGAGAGCUCUCUCUAUAAUAUAUAUACACAUCUAUUUAUAACGCUUUUCUUUAUUUAUUAAGUGAUCUGUUAGGCUGUGGCUACAUUUUCUAUGCAGGAUAAUAUCUCACAAGUAGUCUGGUACAAACGUUUGCCGUAAAAAACACAUCUAACAUCAACUAAACAGACAAGUAAAUAAACACACGAACAAGAGCAAAAGUCCAUUAUAAAAGAAAAAAAUGACUCAUAAUUCUUUACUGGUUUUUUUAUGUUUGUUCCUCUAUUUGGAAACCUACCUCAGGAUUUCAAUGAUUAUGAUUAUUUUUUUUAUUUGUAAGGCAUGUUUCAUCUGUACAAGAAGGAAACAGAAAUUCCACUCGUUGUCUUUGUCUCUUAAAGCAAUUUAAGUAACUCUUCUCGGUCUCAGAGUUGCUGUAUGUGUGAUAAGCGAAGAUUGUGUUUUAGUUAAAGGAAACAUUAGCCUCCUAUUCAGAACAAUAACAUGACCCAGUACGCUCGACCUUGGUCUUCCGUCUCGGUGGGGCCACAUGAGCUUUAACAUUCUUAAACGGGUCGAAAUUUACGUUUAUGUUGGUUUCCUGGCAUAAUGGGUUUUCUCAUCCAAAAGGGGAAGGACUAUAUUGUAUUAUAAAGUGGAGU